GAUCCUGGCUCAGGAUGAACGCUAGCGACAGGCCUAACACAUGCAAGUCGAGGGGUAACAUGAGUGCUUGCACUUGAUGACGACCGGCGCACGGGUGCGUAACGCGUAUGCAACUUACCUUGUACUGGGGAACAGCCCGUGGAAACGCGGAUUAAUGUCCCAUAACACUACAAUUUCGCAUGGAAAAGUGGUUAAAGUUCCGACGGUACAAGAUGGGCAUGCGUGACAUUAGCUAGUUGGUGAGGUAAGGGCUCACCAAGGCGACGAUGUCUAGGGGUUCUGAGAGGAAGGCCCCCCACACUGGUACUGAGACACGGACCAGACUCCUACGGGAGGCAGCAGUGAGGAAUAUUGGUCAAUGGGCGCAAGCCUGAACCAGCCAUGUCGCGUGCAGGAAGACUGCCCUACGGGUUGUAAACUGCUUUUGUAUAGGAAGAAACGUUGGUACGUGUACCAAUUUGCCGGUACCAUACGAAUAAGGAUCGGCUAACUCCGUGCCAGCAGCCGCGGUAAUACGGAGGAUCCAAGCGUUAUCCGGAUUUAUUGGGUUUAAAGGGUGCGUAGGCGGUAGAAUAAGUCAGUGGUGAAAUCCUGCAGCUUAACUGUAGAACUGCCAUUGAUACUGUUUUACUUGAGUGUAAUUGAGGUAGGCGGAAUGUGUUGUGUAGCGGUGAAAUGCAUAGAUAUAACACAGAACACCGAUUGCGAAGGCAGCUUACUAAGUUAUAACUGACGCUGAUGCACGAAAGCGUGGGUAGCGAACAGGAUUAGAUACCCUGGUAGUCCACGCCGUAAACGAUGAUUACUCGCUGUAGGCAAUACACCGUCUGUGGCUGAGCGAAAGCAUUAAGUAAUCCACCUGGGGAGUACGUUGGCAACAAUGAAACUCAAAGGAAUUGACGGGGGCCCGCACAAGCGGAGGAACAUGUGGUUUAAUUCGAUGAUACGCGAGGAACCUUACCUGGACUUAAAUGUAGAUUGACGUAUCCAGAGAUGGAUAUUUCUUCGGACAAUUUACAAGGUGCUGCAUGGUUGUCGUCAGCUCGUGCCGUGAGGUGUCGGGUUAAGUCCCAUAACGAGCGCAACCCCUGUUGUUAGUUACCAGCACAUCAUGGUGGGGACUCUAACAAGACUGCCGGUGUAAACCGCGAGGAAGGUGGGGAUGACGUCAAAUCAGCACGGCCCUUACGUCCAGGGCUACACACGUGUUACAAUGGCCGGUACAGAGGGCAGCUACUUGGUGACAAGAUGCGAAUCUCAAAAACCGGUCUCAGUUCGGAUCGAAGUCUGCAACCCGACUUCGUGAAGCUGGAUUCGCUAGUAAUCGCAUAUCAGCCAUGAUGCGGUGAAUACGUUCCCGGGCCUUGUACACACCGCCCGUCACACCA
rnacentral:rRNA from 1 species